AGAAUGAACGCUGGCGGCGUGCUUUACACAUGCAAGUCGAGCGAGGCGUGUAGCAAUACACAGUCGAGCGGCGAACGGGUGAGUAACACGUGGAUCAUCUACCUUCAGGUGGGGGAUAACCCGGGGAAACUCGGGCUAAUACCGCAUAACAUCGUGAGAUCAAAGGGGCGCAAGUCCCGCAGAAGAGGAGUCCGCGUUCGAUUAGCUAGUUGGUAGGGUAAUGGCCUACAAGGCGACGAUCGAUAGCCGGCCUGAGAGGGUGAUCGGCCACACUGGAACUGAGACACGGUCCAGACUCCUACGGGAGGCAGCAGUGGGAAUUUGCGCAAUGGGCGAAAGCCUGACGCAGCAACGCCGCGUGGAGGAUGAAGGUCUUUGGAUUGUAAACUCCUAGUCGAGCGAAGGGAAAAAGGGUCUGGCCACGACCAGAUCAUUGAUUGUACCUGCAGAGGAACGCCCCGGACUAACUCUAGCGCCAGCAGCCG
rnacentral:rRNA from 1 species